AUGAGUGGUCGGAGUCACAGUCCUUUGUCAUCAAGGGGUGGUUAUGAAAGGAGGGGAAGGAAACCUGAACGAAGGCGACAUGACGGAGGUGGAGGUGGUCGUGAUCAUCGAGGAAAUUCCACCAGUUUAUUUGUCCGCAACCUUCGUCCAGAUUGCAGGGUGGAAGACCUUAAGAUAUCAUUUUCGCGUUUUGGUCCUCUCAAGGAUGUCUACCUUCCAAUUAAUUACCAUACUGGGACCCGCCGAGGAUUUGGUUUCGUAGAGUAUGUAGAGCAUGCUGAUGCUGCAGAGGCUAUAAACCACAUGAAUGGUAAGGUUAUCUUUGGUCGGACGCUGAAUGUUGUUUUUGCGGAAGAAAAAAGGAAAAAUGCAUCUCAAAUGAGGAACGGUGGAAGGAGUCGACCAAAUCACAGAAGACCUGCUACUCCUCCUCCUCGGGAACCCCCCUCGCCACGCCGUUCUUGUUCUCAUUCUCCCCUUAGAAGACGACGUUCACCUUCUAGGAGCCAUGGGGACUACUCUCCACCUACUAAGGGGAGGCAACACGCAAGGUCUGUUUCUCCCCGAGAGAAAAGGAGGAAUGGUAGAGAAAGAGAUAGAUCUUACUCCCACAGUUUGAUCCCCCGAAGAGAGAAUUAUGGAGAGAGUAGAAGCCCUGAACAAUAUCCUUCUCCCAAGGGGAGACAAGACUCAAGAUCUGUUCCUACCCGAGAGAAAAGGAGGAAUGCUAGAGAAAGAGAUAGAUUGUAUUCUCGUAGUUUGAGCCCCCGAAGAGAGCAUUAUGAAGAGGGUAGAAGCCCUGAACAAUCUCCUUCUCCUAAGGGGAGGCAACACUCAAGAUAUUUUUCUCCCCGAGAGAAAAGGAGGAAUGGUAGAGAAAGAGAUAGAUUGUCCUCGCGUAGUUUGAGCUCCCGAAGAGAGCAUUAUCGAGAGGGUAGAAGCCCUGAACAUUCUCCUCCUAAGGAGAGGCAACACUCAAGAUCUGUUUCUCCCCAAGAGAAAAGGAGGAAUGGUAGAGAAAGAGAUAGAUUGUACUCGCGUAGUUUGAGCCCACAAAGAGAGCAUUAUCGAGAGGGUAGAAGCCCUGAACAAUCUCCUUCUCCUAAGGGGAGCCAACACUCAAGAUCUGUUCCUCCCCGAGAGAAAAGGAGGAAUGGUAGACAAAGAGAGAGAUUGUACUCGCCUAGUUUGAGCCCCCGGAGAGAGCAUUAUCAAGAGGGUAGAAACCCUGAACAAUUUCCUUCUCCUAAGGGGAGACAACACUCAAGAUCUGUUACUCCCCAAGUGAAAAUGAGGAAUGGUAGAGAAAGAGAUAAAUCGUGCUCGCAUAGUUUGAGCCCCCGAAAAGAUCAUUAUCGAGAUGGUAGAAUCCCUGAACAAUUUCCUUCUCCUAAGGGGAGGCAACACUCAAGGUACCACUUGAUCCAAUGCCAAAUAUUGGAUCUGUUUCUUCCCAAGAGCAAAAGAGAAAUGGUAGAGAAAGAGAUGGACCGCACUCGUGUAGUUUAAGCCUCCUAAAAGAGCAUUAUCGAGAGGGUAGAAGCCCCGAACAAUUUCCUUCUCCUAAUGGGAGGCAAUACUCAAGAUCUGUUUCUCCCCGAGAGAAAAAGAGGAACAGUAGAGAAAGAGAUAGAUUCUACUCUCCCAGUUUGAGUCCCUGAAGAGCCAGUAGUAGCCCUGAACUAUCUCCUUCUACUAGAUAUGCAGUGUCUCGAUGGUGUUGGUGGUGGUGAAAGAUGAAUGAGCCCAAGCCCCUGUGGAAUUGGCUGCAGAGCCCAAUGGAGGAGACAAAAAGGGGAACCCUAGUCAGUGAGAAUAUGGCAAAUUUAUGUCACAUUUUCAUUAAACUUGUUUAGCUUCCAUGCAUUUUUUUAUGGUUUUGAAACUGAUGCACUAUUGAGAACAUGUAGGUUGUAGCUGUAAACUUGGGAGUUGUAAAUUCAAAAGCUUCAAAUAUUUUGAUAUGAUUUUUCAA